rnacentral:rRNA from 1 species
UACGUAGGGUGCAGGCGUUAAUCGGAAUUACUGGGCGUAAAGCGUGCGCAGGCGGUUUGUUAAGACAGAUGUGAAAUCCCCGGGCUUAACCUGGGAACUGCGUUUGUAACUGGCAAGCUAGAGUGUGGCAGAGGGGGGUGGAAUUCCAAGUGGAGCAGUGAAAUGCGUAGAUAUUUGGAGGAACACCAAUGGCGAAGGCAGCCCCCUGGGUUAACACUGACGCUCAUGCACGAAAGCGUGGGGAGCAAACAGG